GUGGAAAUGAAAACAUACUUCCUGGGGAUGAUAAGGGGCCCACAGAGCCGUCUUUGUUGGUUUAAAUCCACCAAGACGAGCAGCUUGAAUCACAUGGGAUUCCCUUAUGAGUCCUCCAUAGAGGACUGUUUCACUGGCAUACAGGAACACCACUAAAACUUCCUGGAUGUAUUUUUGAGCUGAUUUUCUUCAGCUACUUUAUAAAUGGCUCAAAACCUCAGCCAUUUAAGGGAGGUUUCUUGGAGCGCCUGCUUGCGCUCUUCAGCAUGUGGGACGUGGACGUGUGGGAGCCUGCAGCAGAGCUGUACUUCACAGUGCUUAUUG